UGGCUCAGGACGAACGCUGGCGGCGUGCUUAACACAUGCAAGUCGAGCGGAAAGGCCCUUUCGGGGGUACUCGAGCGGCAACGGGUGAGUAACACGUGAGUAAUCUGCCCUUGGCUUUGGGAUAACUACCGGAAACGGUGGCUAAUACCGGAUAUGACCAUGCUCGGCAUCGGGUGUGGUGGAAAGUUUUUCGGCCAGGGAUGUGCUCGCGGCCUAUCAGCUUGUUGGUGGGGUAAAUGGGCCUACCAAGGCUUCGACGGUAGCCGGCCUGAGAGGGUGACCGGCCACACUGGGACUGAGACACGGCCCAGACUCCUACGGGAGGCAGCAGUGGGGAAUAUUGGACAAUGGGCGGAAGCCUGAUCCAGCAACGCCGCGUGAGGGAUGACGGCCUUCGGGUUGUAAACCUCUUUCAGUACCGACGAAGCGCCGAUGAUGGUGGUGACGGUAGGUACAGAAGAAGCACCGGCCAACUACGUG
rnacentral:rRNA from 1 species